CCUACGGGAGGCAGCAGUGAGGAAUAUUGGUCAAUGGGCGGAAGCCUGAACCAGCCAAGUAGCGUGCAGGAUGACGGCCCUACGGGUUGUAAACUGCUUUUAUACGGGAAUAACGCGCCUUACGUGUAGGGCUUUGCAUGUACCGUAUGAAUAAGGACCGGCUAAUUCCGUGCCAGCAGCCGCGGUAAUACGGAAGGUCCGGGCAUUAUCCGGAUUUAUUGGGUUUAAAGGGAGCGUAGGCCGCAUGUCAAGCGUGCUGUGAAAUGUCCGGGCUCAACCCGGGCCUUGCAGCGGGAACGAGCGUGCUUGAGUCCGCGUAAAGCAGGCGGAAUUCGUGGUGUAGCGGUGAAAUGCUUAGAUAUGACGAAGAACCCCGAUUGCGAAGGCAGGUUGCUGCAGCGGAACUGACGCUGAUGCUCGAAAGCGCGGGUAUCGAACAGGAUUAGAUACCCCUGUAGUC
rnacentral:rRNA from 1 species